CUUGGCUUCAAGGGAAAGAGUGCUGCUAUUAGAAACGUCUGCUUUGGGCAAAGGAAUAAUAAAGAAAACUGAAGUCUACCUUGAAAAAGCCAUGAUGCAAAUGAAAAAUUUAAAUGAUUUAUCAAAUCAUUGGCAAGAUAAGAAACAUGAGAAGCAGAGUGAUUAUCAGUUCUCAGAAUCUAAGACUGGAAGAGUCAAAAUUCAACACCAGGUAUAAAACCAUGGUCUGUAACAUGAUAAUUUUGUAUUUCAGGUCAAGGAGUUUGGACAUAAUUCUUUAAGAAACAUGGUGACCUUGCAAAUUUUUGAGCAAGUUCCAGGAUUCUCUUAUCAGUUGUGCCCCAUUCUGAUCCUAGGUACCUCAAUUAUAGUGGCAUCAUAAUGAUUUUCAAGAAUCCCCUCUUGAAAUAAGAAA